rnacentral:rRNA from 1 species
GACGAACGCUGGCGGCGUGCCUAAUACAUGCAAGUAGAACGCUGAAGAGAGGAGCUUACUCUUCUUGGAUGAGUUGCGAACGGGUGAGUAACGCGUAGGUAACCUGCCUUGUAGCGGGGGAUAACUAUUGGAAACGAUAGCUAAUACCGCAUAACAAUGGAUGACACAUGUCAUUUAUUUGAAAGGGGCAAUUGCUCCACUACAAGAUGGACCUGCGUUGUAUUAGCUAGUAGGUGAGGUAAUGGCUCACCUAGGCGACGAUACAUAGCCGACCUGAGAGGGUGAUCGGCCACCCUGGGACGGAGACACGGCCCAGACUCCUACGGGAGGCAGCAGUAGGGAAUCUUCGGCAAUGGGGGCAACCCUGACCGAGCAACGCCGCGUGAGUGAAGAAGGUUUUCGGAUCGUAAAGCUCUGUUGUAAGUCAAGAACGGGUGUGAGAGUGGAAAGUUCACACUGUGACGGUAGCUUACCAGAAAGGGACGGCUAACUACGUG